rnacentral:tRNA from 1 species
AGGGGUGUAGCUCAGUGGCAGAGCACUUGCCUAGCAUGUGUGAGGCACUGGGUUCAAUCCUCAGCACUGCAU